AAACCAUGUAAACUCCUCUACCCCAAUAUAUCAAAAGUAGUUCCAAGGAGAUCCGUUGGUUCAGUGGCAUUUGCCCUUUUAUUCCAAGCUUGUUGCCGCGUUUUCUAACAGUGUAGUCAUGUUCUCACUGAAGGCACAAGAAUGGAAGAGUCAAGACUGACAAGAUCUCCUCUCAUUCUUUCCCCUUUUAGAAUAAGCAGGAAGCAAAUGCUUUCCUCUAAGACCACCAGAAGACUUCUUUAUAGCUUUCCCUGGCCUUGGCCUCCCCUUGCUGCAAAUAAUGGAAGUUCUUUUCUGUAGGAGCCCAUAAGGAUAUCUGCUUACUUUCUGAGGGAUGCGCUGAGCCUAUAGGAGAUGCAGGCAUUCCUGUCCUGCCCAGUAACGGAACGUGGGCCUGCUUUGCUGUCUUCCAGAAAGCAUUCUGCUUUCUAAAUUCUCCAGGAUUGAAAGGG
rnacentral:lncRNA from 1 species